rnacentral:rRNA from 1 species
UACGGGGGGUGCGAGCGUUGUCCGGAAUCACUGGGCGUAAAGGGCGCGUAGGUGGCGUGAUAAGGGUGUGGUGAAAGCCCCGGGCUCAACCUGGGAAUGGCCGUUGAAACUGGCGAACUGGAGUGUGGCAGAGGAGACUGGAAUUCCCGGUGUAGCGGUGAAAUGUGUAGAGAUCGGGAGGAACACCGGUGGCGAAGGCGGGUCUCUGGGCAAUUCCUGACGCUGAGGCGCGAAAGCGUGGGGAGCAAACAGG